UUAUUGGAGAGUUUGAUCCUGGCUCAGGAUGAACGCUGGCGGCGUGCCUAAUACAUGCAAGUCGAGCGAAUGGAUUAAGAGCUUGCUCUUAUGAAGUUAGCGGCGGACGGGUGAGUAACACGUGGGUAACCUGCCCAUAAGACUGGGAUAACUCCGGGAAACCGGGGCUAAUACCGGAUAACAUUUUGAACCGCAUGGUUCGAAAUUGAAAGGCGGCUUCGGCUGUCACUUAUGGAUGGACCCGCGUCGCAUUAGCUAGUUGGUGAGGUAACGGCUCACC
rnacentral:rRNA from 1 species